UUUUUAUAAAAUCUAUCUGAAGACCUAUGAGAGUUUUCAGGAAAAACGAUCGACAGAAGUUGAGAAAGAAUUGAAAAAUUGCCCAUUGUCAGUGCGAUGGGACUUCGCAACAAGACGCACAGCAUCUCAUAUUCGACUGCAACCAAUACACCCAACAUAGGACGAAUCUACUCAGGACAGUGUUACAGGAGGGAUACAACUGGCCUUGAGACAACAACGUCUUAGUUAGAAAUAAGAAGAUCUUCAAGGCACUUAUAAACUUUGUCGAGUCAACAAAGGCUCUGGACCUGCAACACGACAAUGAGUAAGAACAUCUUCAUCUAGUUCAACAUGUGUUUAACACGUGUAUAACGUAUAGCUACUUGUGUGUAGGUGUGUUACAACUCUAUCCGCCAAGCAGUAUUUCCUGUAAACCUAAUCAUGGUAAUCACCAUUUUGACAUCAAUGUUGUAAAUUUUAUGGCACUAUGCCAGGCAAUGUCUACUUUUGUGUUAAGGAACUUAUAGUCGCGUUUUUAUGUACGGACAUAAAAAUCUGUACCUCUUUUGUUUUCUUUUGUAAAUGUUAUUUCCAUAUGUAACCUGUUUAUGUUUUAAAUAAAGUUCCCGGUGCGGCUCUUGACAUCCCCUUCCACUUCUCACUUCUUUCCCAUUUUCCACCCACCUUCGGCCUCUGCCACAACAGACUUUCCCUCCAACUAACCCUUCUCACUUCUUUAUAUCUCUUUGAGGAUAUACCACUGAGUAAUGCCCCCUAUCCCUCUAAAAAUAUUGAAAUAUCUUUCAUAGUGGUCGAGAUAGGACUUUGCCCUAUAAAAAGGGGAGUCGGGGAUAAAAGGUAUGCCAUAGCCCACUAUCGAUUGAAUAUACUCUUGUCACAUGUAUUGAUAUUUAGGAAAAAUAUAGCAGAAGCAAGAUAUAGCCUGAUGCAAGUUAUUGCACCAAGCUAUAUAUUGCUUUUGUAUACACUCUUUUGUCUAUCUCUUUUGUCUACACCAGGGGUG
rnacentral:lncRNA from 1 species